rnacentral:tRNA from 1 species
GCCGUGGUGGUGGAAUUGGUAGACACGCUAUCUUGAGGCUAGGGUGUGCGGGUUCGAGUCCCGCCCACGGCACCA